CUAUUUGUAAAAAUAUAUGAUUUAUCACUUCAAUGUUUUUCAGGCAGCAACCCCACAUUUACAUCUGCUUUUGCCAAGGUUCAUAAACCAUUCAUAAUGGCAUUACAGUCCUGGCUGCCAACCUGGAGUGAACUUCCCGGUGUCCUAUCCUGUGGUCUCAUCUAUCACCUGUCACAGCCAGCUACCUCGUUGCUCUUUAGAGCACUUAACCCUUAUUGCGUUUCCCGGACUACCGGCUAAUUUAAGGGCAAGGCUGAAGCGACGCUGACUAUGAAUCACAGCUACAGCAAAUUUAGCAUGUUCUUCUAAUGAGGGGCUGCUGGGAACGUCUGAUGCAUCUGCCAACUGACUUAACCGAGAUGGGUGUACUACUGUCCAGAGGAAGCUCCAGAGAGCCCGUCAACACAUCCGAAACAGUGAGCAGCAUCUGUGACGGAGAGGUCCGCGGCACAGACAGCGACCGCUCCUCCAUCUUGCCCAUUCAGAACAAAGAGCGGGUGCUGGUUCCUGCUUUUCCGGUGAGUGCCUAUGUGGAGAGAGGCUACAUCACCCCGCAGCAAGUGUACAACCUGCUGAG
ensembl:lncRNA